GAGGGGAGAGAAUAAGUUUUUUUUGAAGGAUCGGAGAGCUAGCUUCAUACUUCGGGCCGGAGAAAAAAACAGGGAAUUGGGAUUUUUUUUAUAGGAUUUUGGGAAGACUGAGGCAAUCGUUGCUGAAUAGUCAAUGUGUUGUACUAGUGAAUCGGGAUUUUAAUGAAGUGGGUGUGAUUACUCUUGACUGUUUUGUGAAAUCGAAGUUACGUCUGUGAUUGAAGAAUUAAAAAGGUGUGUAUAGGAUUGAAUAUGCAGAGUGAAUGAAAUUUAUUGGGUUAAUCUAACAAGAUAGUCAGUAAAUACAAGGUCGUGAGUAUAAAGCGGUAUCAAAUAUUAGCUAUUUGGAUUGUUCGGGGUUCUCUGUAACGUCUAGAGACCUACCAGUUGGGACAAAAAGGAUUUCGGCGAGCAGUCGAAGGACAUCC
rnacentral:lncRNA from 1 species